rnacentral:rRNA from 1 species
UACGUAGGGGGCGAGCGUUGUCCGGAUUUACUGGGCGUAAAGGGUGAGUAGGCGGUUAUAUAUGUCAGGUGUAAAAAGCUAUGGCUUAACCAUAGUAAGCACUUGAAACUGUAUGACUUGAGUGCAGGAGAGGUAAGCGUAAUUCCUAGUGUAGCGGUGAAAUGCGUAGAUAUUAGGAGGAACACUGGUGGCGAAGGCGGCUUACUGGACUGUAACUGACGCUGAGUCACGAAAGCGUGGGUAGCAAACAGGAUUAGAUACCCUGGUAGU